UGUAGCGCGGUGGUCCCACCUGACCCCAUGCCGAACUCAGAAGUGAAACGCCGUAGCGCCGAUGGUAGUGUGGGGUCUCCCCAUGUGAGAGUAGGGAACUGCCAGGC
rnacentral:rRNA from 2 species